UACGUAGGGUGCAAGCGUUGUCCGGAAUUAUUGGGCGUAAAGAGCUCGUAGGCGGUUUGUUGCGUCGGCUGUGAAAUCCCGAGGCUCAACCUCGGGUCUGCAGUCGAUACGAGCAAACUAGAGUGUUGCAGGGGAGACUGGAAUUCCUGGUGUAGCGGUGAAAUGCGCAGAUAUCAGGAGGAACACCGGUGGCGAAGGCGGGUUGCUGGGCUGACACUGACGCUGAGGCGCGAAAGCCAGGGGAGCAAACAGG
rnacentral:rRNA from 1 species